rnacentral:rRNA from 1 species
AUCCUACGGGAGGCAGCAGUAGGGAAUCUUCGACAAUGGGCGAAAGCCUGAUGGAGCAACGCCGCGUGGGUGAAGAAGGUCUUCGGAUCGUAAAACCCUGUUGUUAGAGAAGAAAGUGCGUGAGAGUAACUGUUCACGUUUCGACGGUAUCUAACCAGAAAGCCACGGCUAACUACGUGCCAGCAGCCGCGGUAAUACGGAGGUGGCAAGCGUUAUCCGGAUUUAUUGGGCGUAAAGGGAACGAAGGCGGACUUUUAAGUCUG